CAGCCGCCGCGGUAAUACGUAGGGUGCGAGCGUUAAUCGGAAUUACUGGGCGUAAAGCGUGCGCAGGCGGUUAUAUAAGACAGAUGUGAAAUCCCCGGGCUCAACCUGGGACCUGCAUUUGUGACUGUAUAGCUAGAGUACGGUAGAGGGGGAUGGAAUUCCGCGUGUAGCAGUGAAAUGCGUAGAUAUGCGGAGGAACACCGAUGGCGAAGGCAAUCCCCUGGACCUGUACUGACGCUCAUGCACGAAAGCGUGGGGAGCAAACAGGAUUAGAUACCCUGGUAGUCCACGCCCUAAACGAUGUCAACUGGUUGUUGGGUCUUCAC
rnacentral:rRNA from 1 species